rnacentral:rRNA from 1 species
UACGUAGGGUCCGAGCGUUGUCCGGAAUUACUGGGCGUAAAGAGCUCGUAGGUGGUUUGUCGCGUUGUUCGUGAAAACUCACAGCUCAACUGUGGGCGUGCGGGCGAUACGGGCAGACUGGAGUACUGCAGGGGAGACUGGAAUUCCUGGUGUAGCGGUGAAAUGCGCAGAUAUCAGGAGGAACACCGAUGGCGAAGGCAGGUCUCUGGGCUGUAACUGACGCUGAGGAGCGAAAGCAUGGGGAGCGAACAGG